rnacentral:rRNA from 1 species
GGAUUGCCCCAGUAACGGCGAGUGAAGCGGCAACAGCUCAAAUUUGAAAUCUGGUCCCCCCGCGGGGCCCGAGUUGUAAUUUGAAGAGGAUGCUUCUGGCAAGGUGCCGUCCGAGUUCCCUGGAACGGGACGCCGCAGAGGGUGAGAGCCCCGUACGGUCGGACGCCGAGCCUCUGUGAAGCUCCUUCGACGAGUCGAGUAGUUUGGGAAUGCUGCUCAAAAUGGGAGGUAAACCCCUUCUAAAGCUAAAUACCGGCCAGAGACCGAUAGCGCACAAGUAGAGUGAUCGAAAGAUGAAAAGCACUUUGAAAAGAGAGUUAAAAAGCACGUGAAAUUGUUGAAAGGGAAGCGCUUGCGACCAGACUCGCGCCCGUCGGAUCAGCCGUCGCUCGUCGGCGGCGCACUCCGGCGCGGCUCGGGCCAGCAUCAGUUCGCCUCGGGGGGAGAAAGGCGGCGGGAAUGUGGCUCUACGGAGUGUUAUAGCCCGCCGCGCAAUACCCCCGGGCGGACUGAGGACCGCGCGUAUGCAAGGAUGCUGGCGUAAUGGUCGUCAGCGACCCGUCUUGAAACACGGACCAAGGAGUCGUCCUAAUAUGCGAGUGUACGGGUGUCAAACCCCUGCGCGUAAUGAAAGUGAACGGAGGUGAGAGCUUCGGCGCAUCAUCGACCGAUCCUGAUGUUCUCGGAUGGAUUUGAGUAAGAGCAUAUUGGGCCGGACCCGAAAGAAGGUGAACUAUGCCUGUGUAGGGUAAAGCCAGAGGAAACUCUGGUGGAGGCUCGCAGCGGUUCUGACGUGCAAAUCGAUCGUCAAACAUGGGCAUGGGGGCGAAAGACUAAUCGAACCUUCUAGUA